GCAUAUCAUAAGCGGGAGGAAAAAGAAAACUUAAACAAAGGAUCCCCUAGUAACGGCGAGUGAAGAGGGGAAGAGCCCAAGAUUGAAAGCUGGGCGUCUUCGGCGUCCGCAUUGUAAUCUCAAAGAAGUGUUUUUCCGCUUCGGACCAAGCCUAAGUCCCUUGGAAAAAGGGCAUCAUAGAGGGUGAUAAUCCCGUACAUGGCUUGGAGCGCCCGAGGCUUUGUGAUACGCUUUCUAAGAGUCGAGUUGUUUGGGAAUGCAGCUCAAAAUGGGUGGUAAAUGCCAUCUAAGGCUAAAUAUUGGGGAGAGACCGAUAGCGAACAAGUACAGUGAUGGAAAGAUGAAAAGAACUUUGAAAAGAGAGUUAAACAGUACGUGAAAUUGCCAAAAGGGAAGGGUAGGAGGUCAGAGAUGCGGCCUGGGAUUCAGCCUUGCUUUUGCUUGGUGUUUUUCCCAGAUUGCAGGCCAACGUCGGUUUUGGGCACUGGAGAAGGGUAGGAGGAAUGUGGCACCCCUCGGGGUGUGUUAUAGCCUCCUACUGGAUACAGCGACCGAGACCGAGGACAGCAGCGUACUCGUAAGAGCGGGCCCUCGGGCACCUUUACGCUUAGGGCGUUGGCAUAAUGGCCCUCUACCACCCGUCUUGAAACACGGACCAAGGAGUCUAACAUGUAUGCGAGUCUUUGGGUGGCAAACCCAUAGGCGCAAUGAAAGUGAAUUCAGGUGGGAUCCGCAAGGUGCACCAUCGACCGAUCCUCACGUCUUUUAAGUCGUGGAUUUGAGUAAGAGCAUACCUGUUGGGACCCGAAAGAUGGUGAACUAUGCCUGAAUAGGGUGAAGCCAGAGGAAACUCUGGUGGUAGGCUCGUAGCGGUUCUGACGUGCAAAAUCGAUCGUCAAAUUUGGGUAAUAAGGGCGAAAGACUUAAUCCGAACCAUCUAGUAGCUGGGUUCCUGCCGGAG
rnacentral:rRNA from 1 species